GCAGUCUGGUGCCAGCAGCCGCGGUAACUCCAGCUCCAAUAGCAUAUAUUAAAAUUGCUGCAGUUAAAAAGCUCGUAGUUGGAUCUGGGUUCUGGUUUGGAGACUGCUUGUUCUUAGUGAAUUGAUUUCAUGAAGCUUUGGACAGCGGUAUAUCUAGGCCGAAUCUUCCAGCUGUGUCUGCAUAGGGCUUCGGCUUUGUGUAGAUAGUUUCGUUGUGUGUUAGUUCCCUCACGGGUCUACUCCUUCGAUUCUAUACGCUGUAAUGCCUUUAAUCGGGUGUUCAGUGUGGACAGCACGUUUACUUUGAACAAAUUUGAGUGCUCAAAGCAGGCCUUG
rnacentral:rRNA from 1 species